rnacentral:rRNA from 1 species
GACGAACGCUGACGGCGUGCUUAACACAUGCAAGUCGAGCGAUGAAACACCUUCGGGUGCGGAUUAGCGGCGAACGGGUGAGGAGCACGUGAGGAAUCUGCCUUCCACUCUGGGAUAACUCCGGGAAACCGGGGCUAAUCCCGGAUACUUUCAACUGGCGGCAUCGCCGGUUGAAGAAAGUUGUUCGGUGGAAGAUGACCUCGCGGCCUAUCAGCUUGUAGGUGAGGUAAGGGCUCACCAAGGCGACGACGGGUAGCCGGCCUGAGAGGGCGACCGGCCACACUGGGACUGAGACACGGCACAGACUCCUACGGGAGGCAGCAGUGGGGAAUAUUGGGCAAUGGAGGAAACUCUGACCCAGCGACGCCGCGUGAGGGAUGAAGGCCUUCGGGUUGUAAACCUCUUUCAGCAGGGAAUAAGCGAAAGUGAAGGUACCUGCAGAAGAAGCACCGGCUAACUAUGUGCCAGCAGCCGCGGUAA